rnacentral:rRNA from 1 species
GACGAACGCUGGCGGCGUGCUUAACACAUGCAAGUCGAACGGAAAGGCCCUGCUUGCAGGGUACUCGCGUGGCGAACGGGUGAGUAACACGUGGGUGAUCUGCCCUGCACUUCGGGAUAAGCUUGGGAAACUGGGUCUAAUACCGGAUAGGAGCCAUCUUUAGUGAGGUGGUUGGAAAGUUUUUUCGGUGUAGGAGGAGCUCGCGGCCUAUCAGCUUGUUUGUUGGGUAAUGGCCUACUAAGACGGCGAGGGGUAGACGGCCUGAGAGAGUGCGAGGCCACACAUGGGGACAGAGACGGCCCAGAGUCCUACGCGGGGCAGCAGUGGGGAAUAUUGCACAAUGGGCGCAAGCCUGAUGCAGCGACGCCGCGUGGGGGAGGAAGGCCUUCGGGUUGUAAACUCCUUUCGCGAGGGACGAGGCUUGGUUGUGACGGUACCUAGAUAAGAAGCACCGGCUAACUACGUG